CCCUUAGAUGUUCUGGGCCGCACGCGCGCUACACUGAUGCAUUCAACGAGCCUAUCCUUGACCGACAGGUCCGGGUAAUCUUUGAAUCUGCAUCGUGACGGGGAUAGAUUAUUGCAAUUAUUAAUCUUCAACGAGGAAUGCCUAGUAGGCGCAAGUCAUCAGCUUGCGUCGAUUACGUCCCUGCCCUUUGUACACACCGCCCGUCGCUCCUACCGAUUGAGUGCUCAGGUGAAUAAUUCGGACUGCAGCAAUGUUUGGAUCCCGAACGUUGCAGCGGAAAGUUUAGUGAACCUUAUCACUUAGAGGAAGGAGAAGUCGUAACA
rnacentral:rRNA from 1 species